AUUGAACGCUGGCGGCAGGCCUAACACAUGCAAGUCGAACGAGUGGCGGACGGGUGAGUAAUGUCUGGGAAACUGCCUGAUGGAGGGGGAUAACUACUGGAAACGGUAGCUAAUACCGCAUACCAUCGGAUGUGCCCAGAUGGGAUUAGCUAGUAGGUGGGGUAACGGCUCACCUAGGAGACGAUCCAUAGCUGGUCUGAGAGUAUGACCGUCCACACUGGACCUGAGACACGGUCCAGACUCCUACGGUAGGCAGCAGUGGGGAAUAUUGCACAAUGGGCGCAAGCAUGAUGCAGCCAUGCCGCGUGUAUGAAGAAGGCCUUCGGGUUGUAAAGUACUUUCAGCAGGGAGGCGUUACCCGCAGAAGAAGCACCGGCUAACUCCGUGCCAGCCGCCGCGGUAAUUC
rnacentral:rRNA from 1 species